rnacentral:rRNA from 1 species
AUGGCGGAGAUCGUAGCUUCCGCGGUCGUCAGCGAGACGCUCAGCAGGUUCUCCUCCUUCCUCAUCGACAAGUACCGCGACCGGAAAUCAAGCGAGAGAGACGACACGGAGAGGCUGGAGAUGGCGCACAUCAGGAUGGAGACCGCGCUGGAGGCGUCCGGCAAGUGGCCACCGGCCACAGACGUCCCGCUCCUACGCUGGCGGAACAAGCUGAAGCGCGCGGCCGACGAGUGCGACGCCGUCCUCCGCCGAUGCAAGCGCCGCACCGUUGAAGACCAAGGGGUAAGGCAGUGCUCUUCCUUCCCAGCACGGAUCGCUCACGCCACGAGAUCCUUCUUCUGCUCGUCCUCGUCCUCCCCCUCUGGCCACAACGACGGCGAGCCGUCGAUCGACUGCUCGGAAGCCGUCGUCCGGAGGUACGAGAGGUUCGCGGACGGCGCCGGCGAGUUCCUGAGGUUCGUGGAGCACGGCAGCGUGCGCCGCCAGAUGUUAAUCCUCGAUCCUCUCGCGGGGCACCUCCUCGCCGGCAGAGCUUUCCAGUACGAGGUCUCUCAGGGAAACCGGCGCUACUACUUCGCGGGGCGGCCCAUGAGUUCCACGGAGAGAGGGUUAGAGGGCGGGGUGCUGCUCCGGUGCCGAGACCACGAGGCGCCGGAGGGCAGCUUCGUCCUCGGAAUUAUUAUGCGCAUCACGGAGAGCACGGACGUGGCCGCGGUCGUGGCCGAGUGCUUGGUGUCGCGGUUGCUCACCCCUGAUCUGAAGCCCGUCGCUGAUGUCGCCACGCAAGAGCUCGACCGGGUGCACACCCGGGGCAUGUAUUGCUAUCCGUUUCUUGCCUCUACCGACCCGGCGUAUUGGAACUUCCACUUGUUAGAGACCCGACGGGCUCGCCCAGAACCACUGUGCUGCAAAGGAGGACACGACCACAAAAACUCCAUGACGAGAUUGGCAGGUGCAUUUCCAGAACCGGUGAUCAAAUUGUUCGUGCAGCGCCAUGUCCCGGCAAGGGAGCGGAGGCAGAGCACGAGGAGGAAGAAGAAGACAUCGCCGUCGGUUGAUGUUGGUAAUGGCCUGCAGCUUACAACCGUCUUCGCGCCACACAUGCCCACAGAGGAGCUGCCUUCUGGAGUCGAGAGCAUCGUGGCCGAGGUGAUCGACGGGAGACGGAAUGAGCAGGUCUGGCACGAAAACGUUGGGUUGCACCAGCUGGAAGAGUUGCUGCUGCCGGGCGCGAUUCGGCGUCUCUGCCACGGGGAUGCAGCCGCACAAGUAUCGCCGGCGCAUGAGGUGUUCUGGAGGUCUGGACAUGGCGUGGCCUACCUAUGCGUCGAGAAGCCCGGCACCGACAUGGCGAUGUGCAGGGCAACCCAGUGGCAGUUUUGA